rnacentral:rRNA from 1 species
UCGAGGGGCCCGAGGGAAGCUUGUUCCUUUAGGUCAGCGGGGAAGGGGUAAGUAACAGGUGGGUACCCUCCUGGUAAGAUUGGAAUAAUUCGGGGAACCCGGGGCUAAUCCGGAAGGUUUAAUUGACCGGCAUGGUUCAAUCAUAAAAGGUGGCUUUUAGCUACCACUUACAGAUGGACCCGCGGCGCAUUAGCUAGUUGGUGAGGUAACGGCUCACCAAGGCGACGAUGCGUAGCCGACCUGAGAGGGUGAUCGGCCACACUGGGACUGAGACACGGCCCAGACUCCUACGGGAGGCAGCAGUAGGGAAUCUUCCGCAAUGGACGAAAGUCUGACGGAGCAACGCCGCGUGAGUGAUGAAGGUUUUCGGAUCGUAAACUCUGUUGUUAGGGAAGAACAAGUACCGUUCGAAUAGGGCGGNACCUUGACGGUACCUAACCAGAAAGCCACGGCUAACUACGUGCCAGCAGCCGCGGUAAUACGUAGGUGGCAAGCGUUGUCCGGAAUUAUUGGGCGUAAAGCGCGCGCAGGCGGUUUCUUAAGUCUGAUGUGAAAGCCCCCGGCUCAACCGGGGAGGGUCAUUGGAAACUGGGGAACUUGAGUGCAGAAGAGGAGAGUGGAAUUCCACGUGUAGCGGUGAAAUGCGUAGAGAUGUGGAGGAACACCAGUGGCGAAGGCGACUCUCUGGUCUGUAACUGACGCUGAGGCGCGAAAGCGUGGGGAGCGAACAGGAUUAGAUACCCUGGUAGUCCACGCCGUAAACGAUGAGUGCUAAGUGUUAGAGGGUUUCCGCCCUUUAGUGCUGCAGCAAACGCAUUAAGCACUCCGCCUGGGGAGUACGGUCGCAAGACUGAAACUCAAAGGAAUUGACGGGGGCCCGCACAAGCGGUGGAGCAUGUGGUUUAAUUCGAAGCAACGCGAAGAACCUUACCAGGUCUUGACAUCCUCUGACAACCCUAGAGAUAGGGCUUCCCCUUCGGGGGCAGAGUGACAGGUGGUGCAUGGUUGUCGUCAGCUCGUGUCGUGAGAUGUUGGGUUAAGUCCCGCAACGAGCGCAACCCUUGAUCUUAGUUGCCAGCAUUCAGUUGGGCACUCUAAGGUGACUGCCGGUGACAAACCGGAGGAAGGUGGGGAUGACGUCAAAUCAUCAUGCCCCUUAUGACCUGGGCUACACACGUGCUACAAUGGGCAGAACAAAGGGCAGCGAAGCCGCGAGGCUAAGCCAAUCCCACAAAUCUGUUCUCAGUUCGGAUCGCAGUCUGCAACUCGACUGCGUGAAGCUGGAAUCGCUAGUAAUCGCGGAUCAGCAUGCCGCGGUGAAUACGUUCCCGGGCCUUGUACACACCGCCCGUCACACCACGAGAGUUUGUAACACCCGAAGUCGGUGAGGUAACCUUUUGGAGCCAGCCGCCGAAGG